ACGUGGCAACACGGAGCGAGAAGUCAGCAGAGGUCAUAGUAGCCGCUAGCUCAGGGCGAAGGGC
rnacentral:ncRNA from 2 species